rnacentral:rRNA from 1 species
GUGGGGAAUCUUGCGCAAUGGGCGAAAGCCUGACGCAGCCAUGCCGCGUGAAUGAUGAAGGUCUUAGGAUUGUAAAAUUCUUUCACCGGGGACGAUAAUGACGGUACCCGGAGAAGAAGCCCCGGCUAACUUCGUGCCAGCAGCCGCGGUAAUACGAAGGGGACUAGCGUUGCUCGGAAUUACUGGGCGUAAAGGGCGCGUAGGCGGAUCGUUAAGUCAGGGGUGAAAUCCCAGAGCUCAACUCUGGAACUGCCCUUGAUACUGGCGAUCUUGAGUGUGAGAGAGGUAUGGGGAACUCCGAGUGUAGAGGUGAAAUUCGUAGAUAUUCGGAAGAACACCAGUGGCGAAGGCGACUCACUGGCCGAAUACUGACGCUGAGGCGCGAAAGCGUGGGGAGCAAACAGGAUUAGAUACCCCAGUAGUCC